ACAUGGCAGAAGGGGUGAAUGAGUUCCCAUGGACCGCUUUCCCCAUAGGCACAGCUGCGCAGAAAGCUCCUGGCUCAUGGCAUGAGAGAGGAGGAUCGAAUCUACAGACACUGUGAAAGCAGGUGACUCCAGAGGCCUUCAGGGAGAAAUGCACCAGUGCCACAGAGCUGUGGAUGCCAUGCAGUACAAGAGCUGACUGCUCAGGCUCUUUACCUUCGGAGCUUUGGACCCCAGAUCACAUUGACCAUGGCCCUUCUCCAUGAAUCUGUGCCUCUGAGAGAUGACAGCAAGGAGGAUGUGAUGACACGUUUCUCCCUAUGACCCGCAAGGCUGACUUCCCGGGAAAAUCAGUGUGCAGCCAGGUCCCACUGGACUUGCUUCUCAACCCUGGCAGUAUAUUUGAAGAAAAACAUUGGAACUGUUGCCCUCUGCCGUGCCACCCUGCCUUGCAGCCGGCUGAUUUCGGACUGAGACCUCUGUGAACCGUGAGCUAGAUCACCCUCCUCUCCUUUACAUUUGGGUGUCCAGUACUGGUCUCAGCAGUGAGAAAAGCAGCAAGACAUGCCCCUCUGCUGAGGAAAGCCUGUCCACGGCGCCUGUUCAAGGCAUCGCGAUCCUACUAAGCCCUUCGCUGUGAGUUUUCUAUCAGGCUCUUCUUUGCCUUUUUCUGUUACUUCUUCUUCAGCCCGGCAUUCCUGCUCCGGUCCCCGCCUCUCCCGCUUCCUCCGCUCCCAGGAACCCUCUCCCCGCUGCUCGGUGGUGCCCCGCACACAGGUGGGGGUGCUGCCAUUCACCAUAGCUGUGCUCGUUUUGCUGCCUCUCCUCCGCCCUGGCCAGUCGUCUGGAGCCGCAGGUGAGCCUUCUGGAACCGUCCUCCGGGCGUCCCUCGCACGCUGCUUGGUGAUGUCCCCUCCAGCCCAGCAAGGUUUCCCACACAAUCGCAGAUGCGGUGACUCCCCCAGAACCCGCAGCUUCCCGCCACCACGCCCGUCUCCUGGGCGAGGCCGUCCUCGGGUCAUCCGCCUUAAAACCUGCCGGAUUUCUUGGAUUUUACUGAUUGGAUCAAGGAGGUGGUUUUGAAGAAAGAAUUACACCUUUGUUACUGGAAUGAAGAUCACCAGUGAAAGGAGAAUACACAAGAGCAUUACCAACAUAAGCAAAAUAUUGAAAAAUAGACUGUUCUCCAAAAGCACUUCUCUGUUCCGCAGAUAAAGCCAUUCGGGAGGGCAUCUCGGGGGGAUCGGGUCACACGGGCCCUGUCCCUGCUCAGUGGCACUGUGUGUGUGUGUGUGUGUGUGUGUGUGUGUGUGUGUUGCUGUGCUUGCGGGACCUGGGGUUCUCACAGUGCCGGGUCACACGCUGUUUCGAUUCCUAUCUCAGCAUUGCUCCCAGGCAAGACUCUUUGCUUGAUUCUAAAAGCCUCGAAACCUGGCGUUUGCUCGGGCUCCUUCUAGAUGAAAGCCCUUCAGUCAUCUUUUGUUUCAAAAUAGGAAGGGUCCAUUCACAUUGAAGAUUCACCAUAGCAAGCAAAUGUCCUCCGCAACCAGCUUAUCUGGAGUUUCCAAAACUCCUUCAGCUGCUUUCACAUCAGCGCGGGCAGACUUGGUCCUCGCACUCACACCGUGCGAGGAAUCAUUAUUCCAGACUCCUGUAAGCCUCCCGGUGCUAGCAGCAGACCCCCACAUCCCAGCUGGGUCUAGCCUUUUCUCUCAGCAUCGCAAAGUUUUUGCUUAGCAGUGAUGGUCUUGGCGCUAAGAGGAAUUCAUUCCUGUGCUUAUCUUCGGCCCAGGUCGGCAGAAGUUUCUCCCCGCGGGGUCUUCUCAAAUCCAGUUGGUGUCAUAGCCCCCAGUGACGCAGGCUUUGAUGGCUUCCACUGCCUUCUCCCCCCUCUUCAAGACUGCAGCUACCAGGUGUGAUUGUAUUAUACGCUGAGUCUCUAAGUAAAGACGUUUAUUACAGCGCAAGAAACAUUGCCAUCAAUCACCCACAAAGUACCCCGCCCCGCAUCUAACACACUUCACCACGUUCUUGGCACUCUGAAGCCGUUCUGAGUCAGCUUUCAUGAGUGUGUCAACAAGCUGUGAUCAAAUAUCCGGUGAAGGCUGCUGCCGAGCUCCACGCAAAGGCAAAGCGCCUCGUAAAAGCACGAGGUGUCCUCAUCACCUCGCCCAACAGAUUCGGGGCCACGAGACUCGCGGCCCUCCCACAAAGGCGAAAUAACUACAACAGGCAAACGCUUUGAGUCCAUUCAGGACAUCGAGGCAGCCACCACAGCACCACUGAGCCACCACAGCACCACUGAAGAUGAUCAUGAAAGAGGGCGGCCCAGAACUGUUCCGGAAACCCCAAGAACGUGGGGUGAGUGUGUCUGCAGCAGGGCGCUUCGAGGAGGAUUAAUGGCAAUGUUUCUUUUACCGUAAUAAUUUUUAGUUUAUACAUUUGCCAUGUUUUGAUCACACCUGCCUGGGUGGAAUGGGACAUACCUGGCUAGAGGGUAAU